rnacentral:rRNA from 1 species
UACGUAGGGGGCAAGCGUUGUCCGGAAUUAUUGGGCGUAAAGAGCGUGUAGGCGGCUAGAUAGGUCCGUUGUGAAAACUCGAGGCUCAACCUCGAGACGUCGAUGGAAACCAUCUGGCUAGAGUCCGGAAGAGGAGAGUGGAAUUCCUGGUGUAGCGGUGAAAUGCGCAGAUAUCAGGAAGAACACCCGUGGCGAAGGCGGCUCUCUGGUACGUGACUGACACUGAGACGCGAAAGCGUGGGGAGCAAACAGG